rnacentral:rRNA from 1 species
CAAAGUGACAGGUGGUGCAUGGUUGUCGUCAGCUCGUGUCGUGAGAUGUUGGGUUAAGUCCCGCAACGAGCGCAACCCUUAAGCUUAGUUGCCAUCAUUAAGUUGGGCACUCUAAGUUGACUGCCGGUGACAAACCGGAGGAAGGUGGGGAUGACGUCAAAUCAUCAUGCCCCUUAUGAUUUGGGCUACACACGUGCUACAAUGGACAAUACAAAGGGCAGCUAAACCGCGAGGUCAAGCAAAUCCCAUAAAGUUGUUCUCAGUUCGGAUUGUAGUCUGCAACUCGACUACAUGAAGCUGGAAUCGCUAGUAAUCGUAGAUCAGCAUGCUACGGUGAAUACGUUCCCGGGUCUUGUACACACCGCCCGUCACACCACGAGAGUUUGUAACACCCGAAGCCGGUGAG